rnacentral:ncRNA from 1 species
CAAAUGGCCGGGCGCGACGGUCCCUCCUCUCUGAGGAGGGCGAAAAGGGAACGCGGAAUCGGGCAAUUCCCGAAAGCCGCGGCUGCCCCCGCAACUGUGAGCGGCGAGCCGGAUGCUGAGCGUGCCACUGGUCGGAAGACCGGGAAGGCCGUAUCCGGCGACGAACCGCGAGCCAGGAGACCUGCCGCCGCGCACGGAUGUCGG